GACGAACGCUGGCGGCGUGCUUAACACAUGCAAGUCGAACGCUGAAGCUCAGCUUUUGUUGGGUGGAUGAGUGGCGAACGGGUGAGUAACACGUGAGUAACCUGCCCCCUUCUUUGGGAUAACGCCCGGAAACGGGUGCUAAUACUGGAUAUUCACUGGUCUUCGCCUGGGGGUUGGUGGAAAGGGUUUUUUUGGUGGGGGAUGGGCUCGCGGCCUAUCAGCUUGUUGGUGGGGUGAUGGCCUACCAAGGCUUUGACGGGUAGCCGGCCUGAGAGGGUGACCGGGCACAUUGGGACUGAGAUACGGCCCAGGCUGCUACGGGAGGCAGCAGUGGGGAAUAUUGCACAAUGGGCGCAAGCCUGAUGCAGCGACGCCGCGUGAGGGAUGGAGGCCUUCGGGUUGGGAACCUCUUUCGCUCAUGGUCAAGCCGCAACAAUGGUUGUAGUGAGGGUAGUGGGUAAAGAAGCGCCGGCUAACUACGUG
rnacentral:rRNA from 1 species